rnacentral:tRNA from 1 species
CUUCCUUGUCGUGGGUUCAAUUCCCAUCUCCUUAA